UAUACAUGCAAGUCGAGCGGACAGAUGGGAGCUUGCUCCCUGAUGUUAGCGGCGGACGGGUGAGAAACACGUGGGUAACCUGCCUGUAAGACUGGGAUAACUCCGGGAAACCGGGGCUAAUACCGGAUGGUUGUUUGAACCGCAUGGUUCAAACAUAAAAGGUGGCUUCGGCUACCACUUACAGAUGGACCCGCGGCGCAUUAGCUAGUUGGUGAGGUAACGGCUCACCAAGGCGACGAUGCGUAGCCGACCUGAGAGGGUGAUCGGCCACACUGGGACUGAGACACGGCCCAGACUCCUACGGGAGGCAGCAGUAGGGAAUCUUCCGCAAUGGACGAAAGUCUGACGGAGCAACGCCGCGUGAGUGAUGAAGGUUUUCGGAUCGUAAAGCUCUGUUGUUAGGGAAGAACAAGUACCGUUCGAAUAGGGCGGUACCUUGACGGUACCUAACCAGAAAGCCACGGCUAACUACGUGCCAGCAGCCGCGGUAAUACGUAGGUGGCAAGCGUUGUCCGGAAUUAUUGGGCGUAAAGGGCUCGCAGGCGGUUUCUUAAGUCUGAUGUGAAAGCCCCCGGCUCAACCGGGGAGGGUCAUUGGAAACUGGGGAACUUGAGUGCAGAAGAGGAGAGUGGAAUUCCACGUGUAGCGGUGAAAUGCGUAGAGAUGUGGAGGAACACCAGUGGCGAAGGCGACUCUCUGGUCUGUAACUGACGCUGAGGAGCGAAAGCGUGGGGAGCGAACAGGAUUAGAUACCCUGGUAGUCCACGCCGUAAACGAUGAGUGCUAAG
rnacentral:rRNA from 1 species